rnacentral:rRNA from 1 species
UACGUAGGGUGCAAGCGUUGUCCGGAAUUAUUGGGCGUAAAGAGCUCGUAGGCGGUCUGUCGCGUCUGCUGUGAAAACCUAGGGCUUAACUCUGGGCGUGCAGUGGGUACGGGCAGGCUAGAGUGCGGUAGGGGAGACUGGAAUUCCUGGUGUAGCGGUGGAAUGCGCAGAUAUCAGGAAGAACACCCGUGGCGAAGGCGGCUCUCGUGGAACGCAACUGACGGCUGAGACGCGAAAGCGUGGGGAGCAAACAGG